rnacentral:tRNA from 2 species
CGGAAGUAGCUCAGUGGUAGAGCACCACCUUGCCAAGGUGGGGGUCGCGGGUUCGAGUCCCGUUUUCCG